AGGCACUGCGCCACAGCACAUUGUUCUUGCGCUUUUCUCUUUCUUAUUUCCAGGAAGUUGUGACAUUCUUGCAGAAAGAAAAAGACAAGAAAGGUGGGGAAUCGGGAGAUAGCUGCAGACAGACCCUGGAUCCUUAAUGGAGGAAGAGGAUGAGCGACCAGAGGAGGAGGAUGAGGAGCGAGAGGAAGAGGAGGCGGGCAUUGUGAAAGAGGAGAUGUCUGAGCACCCGAUUCCAAUCUGAGCCGUGGCAGUGGUGAAUCCUCGUGAGCACGACUAACUAGCGUGCCAACGCCAGAGUGUUUCCUUCCUCGAUGACGGCACAAACGCUACUCAACUCUACUCUACACUACUCUAAUCUACGCUCCUCUACACUAUCCUCCUCUACUCUACUCUACUGCUGUCUCCCGGACAGUCAUGCUCCUGGAGAACCAGCAGUGUUUGGUUUCAUGUACAUCAGAAACAUAUGACAGACAUAGCCCAUAGAGAACAGUAUAUUUUAGAACAGAAUGUAUGGUAACGCCUUCUUGAAAUGGGGAGAGCACAAUAUUUUUUUAAAAACAAAGGGGUACAAGCCUGAAGGGCUGGAGAGGAAUCGACCUCUUUGUCUUAGUUAAUGUCGCUGGUUGCUUGUUGGCGUCUUGCGUCACUUUUUAAUGGCUUUUGGUUUCCCUUUUUGAUUUUUUAAGUUCCCUUUAACUGAUGAUUUGAUUUUUGCCGUUGAUUGAAGUACUAUUUUCACCGCUACUUUGAUUUGGACGCACAGCGUUUUCCCAACUGUGUUUCCCAGAGUUUGUAUUUAGAUACGAUGUAAAUGUGAUAGGAGGAGGUGAAGAUAUUUUUUUUAUCCUGGCCUGACAUUGGCCGAUGUGCGCUCAUGUGGGUUACAUCACAUGGCGGUAGCUGGAGGAUAUUUCCAAAGACGCAAUGUUUACUGACACUGACCGCUCCCUGAGUGGAGGGGUGAAGCAACAUGUCUCCACACUUAAGGGAACAUCUUGUGAGGCACCCUAAAUGAACACUAUACAAUCUGUCUGAAUAGUUUGACCACAGCCUGAACCAGGAUGUGUUGCGAUGUCACCAAGGAGACUCACUUUGAUGUGGCUCAGAUAAGAGCACCAGACUAGACAUGUUAGGCCAUCAAAGUCCUCAUUGUUUCAAUGGAAAUGCUAAUAAAUCUCUAAGGCUAAUUGUUCAUCGCGUUAUUUAUACCGAAGCUUCUAGACAUUAUAUUGGGAGAGCAUUUUGCUAUCGAGACGUUUCUAUAAGACUGAAUAAUUGUAUCAAAUAUAAAGGGAGGUACUAAUCAGAGAUGAAGGGUAUGCAGUUUUUAGACAUCUAAAAUGUAACUUGAUCAGAUCAGCAUUUGAGAAGUAAGUAUGUUUAAGUGUCACUGUUGUAUUUAA
ensembl:lncRNA